CCAAUACUGACACUGAGGAGCGAAAAGCGUGGGGAGCGAACAGGAUUAGAUACCCUGGUAGUCCACGCCGUAAACGGUGGGCGCUAGUUGUGCGAACCUUCCACGGUUUGUGCGACGCAGCUAACGCAUUAAGCGCCCCGCCUGGGGAGUACGAUCGCAAGAUUAAAACUCAAAGGAAUUGACGGGGCCCCGCACAAGCAGCGGAGCAUGCGGCUUAAUUCGACGCAACGCGAAGAACCUUACCAAGGCUUGACAUAUACAGGAAUAUGGCAGAGAUGUCAUAGCCGCAAGGUCUGUAUACAGGUGGUGCAUGGUUGUCGUCAGCUCGUGUCGUGAGAUGUUGGGUUAAGUCCCGCAACGAGCGCAACCCUCGUUCUGUGUUGCCAGCAUUAAGUUGGGGACUCACAGGAGACUGCCGGGGUUAACUCGGAGGAAGGUGGGGAUGACGUCAAAUCAUCAUGCCCCUUAUGUCUUGGGCUGCACGCAUGCUACAAUGGCUGGUACAAACGGCUGCGAUACCGCAAGGUGGAGCGAAUCCGAUAAAGCCAGUCUCAGUUCGGAUUGGGGUCUGCAACUCGACCCCAUGAAGUCGGAGUUGCUAGUAAUCGUAGAUCAGCAACGCUACGGUGAAUACGUUCCCGGGGCUUGUACACACCGCCCGUCACAUCACGAAAGUCGGUAACACCCAAAGUCAGUGGCCCAACCGUAAGGAG
rnacentral:rRNA from 1 species